GCUUUCAUGCCAUUUCUUUUUAACAAAGUGACCCUGUUUCUUUGUUUUCUGUAGGCUUCCCAAGAGGCUUCUGUAGGAUUCCUGGUGUGAAGCCUGAAUAGACGAUUCCGGCGAGAGAUUUCGUGUUGAGCUCUGGGGUGAUCCAUGAUUUUAGACUCAAGUAGCUCUUGUGUUUGCGGCCACGUCUUUAUUGAGAAACGAAGCAUUGGCGGAAGGCGUUUCUCGGAAUAUCGAGCAAAUUUGUACACACGCCUAACCAUGGCAAAGAGAAAGAAGGAGCGGAAGUCAAGAUGCACCAUCAAGAAAGCACCGCCAGCAAUCAUCGGUAAACGCAUGGAUCAAAGAAAGGUACGUUCCUGAAAUGUCGCAUUUAAAAGGUUAUAAAAGAAUAGGAUCCCGCAUCCGUUUUCAAUCGCUUCCGUUUUGAUAACCCGUUCCAAACGCGAGCGGCGUUUGAAUAAGUUUGGUUCGGCAGGUCGAAUUUGUCGGGGAAAAACCUUUCUAAAUACAAGCAACGUUGCGACUGAAUUUACUGUCCCUAAACAUUGCUAUUACAGCGAAAAAUUAGCCACAGCGUUUCGAUUUGGACAGAAUUAUUGAAUUCAGAAAGCAGAUUUUCUCAUCGAAAAUUGUUUACCACGGGCUUCCUGAAUUAAGUUCGACGCAAGUACGCCGUCUGAAUCAGCCGUCGCUCCAAAGUCGAACCUAAUCGAGUUAAUUUCGGCACAUGAGUGGAGCGGCAUUUGGACCGGGCCUUAUAAGCCAGUUUCCUUCUAAGCUCAGGGUGCAUGAUUAGAUAAGAAGCGCACUACUUCUCUCCAUGGGUGGAAAUGACUGAAUUAAUAUAAUAUCAUUUCUAUUGUUGUAGUAACGUUUGGGGAAGCUUCUCAAAGAGUUCCGUUUCACAAAGUGCUAUAUGCCUGGUGUAUAUACAAGAAAUAGAACCACUCUCUGAUUGGUUAUUUUUAAUGCGGGAUUCUCACGUAAUGCCAAAAGAAAGCAAGAGA